rnacentral:rRNA from 1 species
UACGUAGGGUGCAAGCGUUGUCCGGAAUUAUUGGGCGUAAAGAGCUUGUAGGCGGUUUGUCGCGUCUGCUGUGAAAUUUCGGGGCUCAACCCCGAACUUGCAGUGGGUACGGGCAGACUAGAGUGUGGUAGGGGAGACUGGAAUUCCUGGUGUAGCGGUGAAAUGCGUAGAGAUCAGCAGGAACACCCGUGGCGAAGGCGGCCCCCUGGGCCGUAC